UACGGAGGAUGCGAGCGUUAUCCGGAUUUAUUGGGUUUAAAGGGUGCGUAGGCGGACGCUUAAGUCAGCGGUAAAAUUGCGGGGCUCAACCUCGUCGAGCCGUUGAAACUGGGUGCCUUGAGUGGGCGAGAAGUACGCGGAAUGCGUGGUGCAGCGGUGAAAUGCAUAGAUAUCACGCAGAACUCCGAUUGCGAAGGCAGCGUACCGGCGCCCAACUGACGCUGAAGCACGAAGGCGUGGGUAUCGAACAGG
rnacentral:rRNA from 1 species